UACGUAGGGUGCGAGCGUUGUCCGGAAUUAUUGGGCGUAAAGCGUGCGCAGGCGGUUUUGUAAGUCUGUCGUGAAAGCCCCGGGCUCAACCUGGGAAUUGCGAUGGAGACUGCAAGGCUUGAAUCUGGCAGAGGGGGGUAGAAUUCCACGUGUAGCAGUGAAAUGCGUAGAGAUGUGGAGGAACACCGAUGGCGAAGGCAGCCCCCUGGGUCAAGAUUGACGCUCAUGCACGAAAGCGUGGGGAGCAAACAGG
rnacentral:rRNA from 1 species